rnacentral:rRNA from 1 species
AGCAGCCGCGGUAAUUCCAGCUCCAAUAGCGUAUAUUAAAGUUGUUGCAGUUAAAAAGCUCGUAGUUGAAUUUCGGGAUUGACGCAUCGGUCGUGCCUUAAGGGGUAUGAACUGGUGUAGUCAAUUUCUCACCUUCUGGAGAACCGCGAUGCCCUUAAUUGGGUGUCGCGGGGAACCAGGACCUUUACUUUGAAAAAAUUAGAGUGUUUAAAGCAGGCAUUCUGCUUGAAUACAUUAGCAUGGAAUAAUAAAAUAGGACGGCAUGAUUCUAUUUUGUUGGUUUCUAGGAUCACCGUAAUGAUUAAUAGGGAUAGUUGGGGGCAUUAGUAUUCAAUUGUCAGAGGUGAAAUUCUUGGAUUUAUUGAAGACUAACUACUGCGAAAGCAUUUGCCAAGGAUGUUUUCACUAAUCAAGAACGAAAGUUAGGGGAUCGAAGACGAUCAGAUACCGUCGUAGUCUUAACCAUAAACUAUGCCGACUAGGAAUCAGACGAUGUUAAUUUUUAAUGACUCGUUUGG